rnacentral:lncRNA from 1 species
CUGGCCUUUCCUGAAAAGGGCAGCUGGGCUGCACAGUCGGUAGAUGGCUGAACCAUUACAAGCAGCAGGGGCUGCCUUCGCUUCCCUCAGUGUCACCAAAAUCUCUCAGAUCACUUUGUGAACCUAAGGAUGUUGGAAUUUUAGGUGCAGACAAACGGAAAAAUGUAAAUAAAUUCCACACUAAAGAGAGGACAUCACUGCUGAGCAUAAUAAGCAGCAUUAACCACUAACUAGUAUAUCACACUGCAGCUACAGGUGGGUGGUGGGCAAAGUACGGUCCCACACAGACAGUCCAAAACCACAGCCCUCUUCUUCCCAGGAACUACCUUGUCCUGCAGCUCCUCUCGGAAAAGCUUCCAUGUCACUCUUGGAAAUCCCAGGAACAACGAAAGGAAAGAACGGAUAACAGUGUGCAGAGGAAGCCAGAAAACCAUGGUCCAGUACUCAAGACAAUCAUGGCACAGAGUAGAUUUGUGAUGCUCCUUCAGGGUGGGAAUUCACCGAUCUGAUCCGUUCCUUCCCCGCCGUACACACUGUGCCUCUCAUCACAGCAGGGCGUUGAGCUCCAUUUGCACAGCAGACAAUGGGCUCUGGCAGCAGUUCAAAGGCAUUUCCAGUGAAGUGACUGAACCAGCUCACUGCCGGUUUGGGCAGAGACGGGAUGCGGAGUCCCCUGCUUUCCUCCCCUGCCCUCCCGCGACAACACGGGCAGGUGCUGCACCACGGGCAACAAGGUCUCCUUUUGCCAAGAGGAUCAAGAAGAAAACCAGAGAGGGAGAAGUACAGCACGGAAAACCACAUCAACAAGGAAUUGCAUCAGAAAUUCCCUCCUGAUCCAAAUUAACUGUGUUGCCGCUUUAUACUGACAACUGUGUGACUGAAGACGAGCAGCGUGGAGUUGCUUCCUCUGCAAAUCAUCCUACGCGGGGAAGGAGGAGUAUAGCUUUAUAUUGUUGCAAACACACCUAGCUUCCUUCCUCUACCUGACUCUUUGCUUCUUAUUUUGACAUGAGACCGUUUAAAAAGAAUUAAGUGAGCUUUUCCCUCACUAAAUCUGGAGACGUCAGCCCACAGAAAGUAAAAAGAUUCUGCACUUACCUCUGAUCACAAUCAGGGGAAGGAAAAAUAUUUAUCAGCUGCUUCUCUCUUAGGAGCAACGUUCUGUUUUAAAAUAAAUAAAAAAGAAACAAGACUUUAAACA